GUAUCCUGGCUCAGGAUGAACGCUAGCGACAGGCUUAACACAUGCAAGUCGAGGGGCAGCACGGGGGUAGCAAUACCCCGGUGGCGACCGGCGCACGGGUGAGUAACACGUGUGCAACCAACCCCCGUACCGGGAGAUAACCCGCGGAAACGUGGACUAACACCCCAUAACACCUUUCCCCCGCAUGGGGGAGAGUUUAAAAUCCCGAUGGUACGGGACGGGCACGGCGCGGACAUUAGGUAGUUGGCGGGGUAACGGCCCACCAAGCCGACGAUGUCUAGGGGUU
rnacentral:rRNA from 1 species